GACGAACGCUGGCGGCGUGCUUAACACAUGCAAGUCGAACGAAGUGGCGAACGGGUGAGUAACGCGUAAUCAACCUGCCCUUCAGGGGGGGACAACAGUUGGAAAGGAAUGCUAAUACCGAAUACUGGAGAAGGGGAUGGGGUCUGAUUAGCAAGUUGGAUGGGUCACGGCCCAGCAAGGCGAUGAUCAGUAGCCGGUCUGAGAGGAUGAACUGCCACAUUGGGACUGAGACACGGCCCAGACUCCUACGGGAGGCAGCAGUGGGGAAUCUUCCGCAAUGGACGAAAGUCUGACGGAGCAACGCCGCGUGAGUGAUGACGGCCUUCGGGUUGUAAAGCUCUGUUAAUCGGGACGCGGUACCGGAAUAGAAAGCCACGGCUAACUACGUGCCAGCCGCCGCGGUAAUAC
rnacentral:rRNA from 1 species